rnacentral:rRNA from 1 species
UACGGGGGGGGCAAGCGUUGUUCGGAAUUACUGGGCGUAAAGGGCUCGUAGGUGGCCAACUAAGUCAAACGUGAAAUCCCUCGGCUUAACCGGGGAACUGCGUUUGAUACUGGACGGCUUGAGUUUGGGAGAGGGAUGCGGAAUUCCAGGUGUAGCGGUGAAAUGCGUAGAGAUCGGUAGGAACACCAGUGGCGAAGGCGGUCUCCUGGGGCAUUCUUGACGCUGAGACGCGAAAGCUGGGGGAGCGAACGGG